rnacentral:rRNA from 1 species
GACGAAGGAUGCAAGCGUUAUCCGGAUUCAUUGGGUUUAAAGGGUUCGUAGGCGGUGCGGCAAGUCGGGAGUGAAAUCUCUGGGCUCAACCCAGAGGCUGCUUCCGAAACUGCUGUGCUUGAGUGUGGGAGAGGCGCGUGGAAUUGCAGGUGUAGCGGUGAAAUGCGUAGAUAUCUGCAGGAACACCCGUGGCGAAAGCGGCGCGCUGGACCACUACUGACGCUGAAGAACGAAAGCUAGGGGAGCAAACAGG